rnacentral:rRNA from 1 species
CGGCGGACGGGUGAGUAACACGUGGAUAACCUACCUAUAAGACUGGGAUAACUUCGGGAAACCGGAGCUAAUACCGGAUAAUAUAUUGAACCGCAUGGUUCAAUAGUGAAAGACGGUUUUGCUGUCACUUAUAGAUGGAUCCGCGCCGCAUUAGCUAGUUGGUAAGGUAACGGCUUACCAAGGCAACGAUGCGUAGCCGACCUGAGAGGGUGAUCGGCCACAUUGGGACUGAGAUACGGCCCAG